GAUUCUUCAAUUCUGCAGACAAAAGUCUUCAAAUUCUGCGUUUGGGAACCUUCAAUUCAUCAAACAGACUCACGCUCGAGAGAGUUGGUUUGUUGAGCUUCUAAUAAACCAAUUCUGAACACUGCUGGUCUCAUGAUCCCAAGGACCGGUGCUUGACCAAUGACAGCAUCUUCUGCAGGAUCAUUCUCAGUGAAUCACCCGCAUUCAAGGUAUUUGAUUGAUUUUGAUUCUGGUUCUUCCAAAUCGUGGAUGGAUAGCUAUCUUCUUCAAUGUCAAAGCUCAUUUCAAUUCAUGGUUUUGCAUCUCAUGCAUUAUUCUUGCUGAAAGAUGCAAGCUCGAUGCCCUGUUGCGGUGGGCAAUUGUGUGCGGAAGAAUUAUAUCCACAUACUGUUCUCAUAUUUUGCCUAUCGGAAAACUUAAUGGAAUGUUGAUUCUUCCGCAUUGCAUUGUUUGUUGUGCAUAAGUAAGCAUUGCUGAUGUGGCUAUGUGUUCGACAAACAUUUUCGGAAUGAAUGACAGAUGACAGGUAGAAUGAUCAGAUCCUUCUUCAUUCAUUUGAUCUAUUCAUUUUGUACUUUCAGCUCUGUGAAGAUGAAAAGUGCCUAUGAAUAAUGAUUCUAGUCUUCUGAGCCAUGGGUAAGGUGUUACUCAUCCAUCAUUCUGCAGUAGAUGACCCCUUGAAAUUAUUGUUCUUAAACAAGGAUAAACUGAUGGGGCAAAGAUGUCUUUUUUGCUUUCGUGAUUGACUUCUCCAUUGUUUAGCCAGGACUGCUUAGUCUCAUCUAUUGUGUAACCUUGCUUCAUAAACAAUCAAUUGAGAUGAAUUAAUGUGUCUAUACGUGAAGUUAAGAUUUGCACAUGAAACUACGUUGCAGUUAGAAGCAGAUGCUGCCAUCUGGUUCUAACUUUAACAACCUACAUGCUUGGUUAUAGCAUCCAAGAUGAUUGAGUCUUGUUUUGUAACUCGUCGCCAAUCUUCCUUACUGAUGACAACUUUCUUGCUGUCAGCUUGCAUCCUAGCAGUUGUUCUCAUGGCCUAAAGAACCCACAUCUUAGUUAAAAAAAUUCUAUUUGCGGAUCAGCAUUGAUCCUGGCAAUUGAAUGUAGAGACUAAAAAGGGAGCAUUGAAGAGAAAGAGAGCUUUUGACUGUUAUUAAUGGAGAAUGUCUACUCAAGAAAUUUCGCACUAUUGUUUUUUCACAAACCAACUUCUAUUCUUUGAAAAAUCUUUUUGCGAUGUAAGACUAUGUAUGAACUCACUCACCUCAAUUGUACUUGGGACGCAGUGCUUCGUCCACGAUCUCCUGCAAAUCUGUGGUUUUCAU
rnacentral:lncRNA from 1 species